rnacentral:rRNA from 1 species
CGGAAGUUUUCGGAUGGAAGCUAGAUUGACUGAGUGGCGGACGGGUGAGUAACGCGUGGGUAACCUGCCUCACACUAGGGGACAACAGUUAGAAAUGACUGCUAAUACCGCAUAAGCGCACAGUUCCGCAUGGAACGGUGUGAAAAACUCCGGUGGUGUGAGAUGGACCCGCGUCUGAUUAGCCAGUUGGCGGGUAACGGCCCACCAAAGCGACGAUCAGUAGCCGGACUGAGAGGUUGAACGGCCACAUUGGGACUGAGAUACGGCCCAGACUCC